CUUGUACUCCCACCGUCCGAAAAUACUUGUCAUUGAAAUGGAUGAAUCUAGAUAUAUUUUAGUUCUAGACACAUCCAUUUUGAUGACAAGUAAUUCUAGACGGAGGGAGUACUUG
rnacentral:pre_miRNA from 1 species